rnacentral:rRNA from 1 species
GACGAACGCUGGCGGCGCGCCUAACACAUGCAGGUCGAACGAGCGAGCGAGAGCUUGCUUUCUCAAGCGAGUGGCGAACGGGUGAGUAACGCGUGAGGAACCUGCCUCAAAGAGGGGGACAACAGUUGGAAACGACUGCUAAUACCGCAUAAGCCCACGACCCGGCAUCGGGUAGAGGGAAAAGGAGCAAUCCGCUUUGAGAUGGCCUCGCGUCCGAUUAGCUAGUUGGUGAGGUAACGGCCCACCAAGGCGACGAUCGGUAGCCGGACUGAGAGGUUGAACGGCCACAGUGGGACUGAGACACGGCCCAGACUCCUACGGGAGGCAGCAGUGGGGAAUAUUGCACAAUGGGGGAAACCCUGAUGCAGCGACGCCGCGUGGAGGAAGAAGGUCUUCGGAUUGUAAACUCCUGUUGUUGAGGAAGAUAAUGACGGUACUCAACAAGGAAGUGACGGCUAACUACGUG